rnacentral:rRNA from 1 species
CCAGACUCCUACGGGAGGCAGCAGUGGGGAAUAUUGCACAAUGGGGGGAACCCUGAUGCAGCGACGCCGCGUGGGUGAAGGAGUACUUCGGUACGUAAAGCCCUAUCAGCAGGAAAGAAAAUGACGGUACCUGACUAAGAAGCCCCGGCUAACUACGUGCCAGCAGCCGCGGUAAUACGUAGGGGGCAAGCGUUAUCCGGAUUUACUGGGUGUAAAGGGAGCGCAGACGGCAGUGCAAGUCUGGAGUGAAAGCCCGGGGCCCAACCCCGGAACUGCUCUGGAAACUGUGCGGCUAGAGUACUGGAGGGGCAGGCGGAAUUCCUAGUGUAGCGGUGAAAUGCGUAGAUAUCAGGAGGAACACCGGCGGCGAAGGCGGCCUGCUGGACCGCGACUGACGUUGAGGCUCGAAAGCGUGGGGAGCGAACAGGAUUAGAUACCCCAGUAUG